rnacentral:lncRNA from 1 species
GUGAUCCCUCUCAGCAUCAUGUACGACCACAGCAUUGACGACCUCGAGGUCAACGUGUUCCGCAAGGUAAAGAUCGCCUUCAACAUUCUUCGUGCCAUGGUCAAGCUCUACGACGUCAUCGGGUCGGUGAUGAACGAAAAGGCAUUCUUCGAGAACUGGGUCAGCGGCUACGCCCUGCUGAAGACGAACGACCUGGAACGCUGCAUCAUGAGGCAGUACAGGCUCAAA